UUUUAAGGGGUGCUCGAGAGUUCGGGCUGAGAUCAGACCCUUUAACCUGAUCCAGGUAAUGCUGGCGUAGGGAUUGAAGAGA
rnacentral:ncRNA from 1 species